GAUAUGGCUCAGGAUGAACGCUGGCGGCGUGCUUAACACGAUGCAAGGUCGAACGGAGUUUAGAUGAAAGCUUGCUUUGACUAAACUAGUGGCGGACGGGUGAGUAACGCGUGGGUAACCUGCCUUAGUACAGGGGGAUAACAGUCGGAAACGACUGCUAAUACCGCAUAAGCGCACGGAAUCGCAUGAUUCAGUGUGAAAAAGAUUUAUCGGGUAUAAGAUGGACCCGCGUCUGAUUAGCUAGUUGGUGAGGUAACGGCCCACCAAGGCGACGAUCAGUAGCCGGCCUGAGAGGGUGAACGGCCACAUUGGGACUGAGACACGGCCCAAACUCCUACGGGAGGCAGCAGUGGGGAAUAUUGCACAAUGGGGGAAACCCUGAUGCAAGCGACGCCGCGUGAGUGAAGAAGUAUUUCGGUAUGUAAAGCUCUAUCAGCAGGGAAGAAAAUGACGGUACCUGACUAAGAAGCCCCGGCUAACUACGUGCCAGCAGCAGC
rnacentral:rRNA from 1 species